rnacentral:lncRNA from 1 species
CCGAGCCGGGGCCGGGGCCGGGGAGAGGGCGCAGCGAGGUGGGGGCCAGUCCAGACCGACGGCAGCGACGGAGCGGGCGGCGGCGGCGGCGCCGGCGGCGGCGGGGUGGCUCAGUCCCCAGUCUCAGACGCGCCGCGCAGCAGGUCGGAGCAGCCUCCCCGGGAGGAUGUCCAGCGGCAGCGCUCCUCGCUCCAGCCCUUGGGGAUCUUCCGCUGAGGCAUUGAAGGCAGGAAGAAGGGGGAGGGAGUUCUCACAAGAUCUGAUGGUUUAAGCGUGGCAGUUUCCCCUGAGCUCUCCUUCCUGCUGGUAUGUAAGGCGUGCUUUGCUUCCUCUUCACCUUCCGCCAUGAUUGUACAUUUCCUGAGGCCUCCCCAGCCAUGCAGAACUGCAUACAACUUAGGAUUCAUAACUACAUAUAUACGGAUAGAAGUGCAUGAACAGAAAAUCUGCCCUUCUGGAAUACCAAAUGCAAAAUUAAAGUGACUACAAGCAGAAUUUGGAGAAAAAAAUAAAAGAUGCAAUAUAGUUUUUAAAAUCAUUGUUAAAAUAUAAUGAGUCUGUACUUUGCUUAAACAAUAAAAAAGUCUUCGAUUUAUA